rnacentral:rRNA from 1 species
AUUGAACGCUGGCGGCAGGCUUAACACAUGCAAGUCGAGCGAGCGGCGGACGGGUGUGUAAUGUCUGGGAAACUGCCUGAUGGAGGGGGAUAACUACUGGAAACGGUAGCUAAUACCGCAUACCAUCAGAUGUGCCCAGCUGGGAUUAGCUAGUAGGUGGGUUAAUGGCUCACCUAGGCGACGUUCCCUAGCUGGUCUGAGAGGAUGACCAGGCAAACUGGAACUGAUACACGGUGCAGACUCCAACGGGAGGAAGCAGUGGGGAAUAUUGGACAAUGGGCGCAAGCCUGAUGCAGACAUGCCGCGUGGGUGAAGAAGGCCUUCGGGUUGUAAAGCACUUUCAGCGAGGAGGCGUUACUCGCAGAAGAAGCAACGGCUAACUCCGUGCCAGCAGCCGCGGUAAUAC